rnacentral:lncRNA from 1 species
CCAGGCUCCCCAAAUCUAAACUUCUCACUCUUCACCAUCCAGUUUUCAAGGCACUGUGAAGCCCCUGAUGCGAAACAGCAGUUACCGCAGGCCAUGGAGGAGCGGGCACAGCUGAAAGCACAUCUAGGGCAGGUGAAGCUUUGCAGGGGAGGGAUGUGGAAGGAAGAUGACCCCAGGUGGCCAGGAGCAGGUGAGGACCAGUGACAGCCCUUUGUAACUUUUGUACCCAUUCUUUAAGGUAAUGGAGUCAGUUAGAUAACUACAAACGGAGAGAGAUACGUAUGCUGAAAAUCUGAAAGGAGGGAGGGCCAUGUGGUGUCAGAGGAAGCAACAGAUGUCGGAGCAGGUGUGCACAUUGAGAGAGGAGAAGGAGGAUAGCAUGAGUUGGGUAUAAGAACAGUAGAUGAGCUUGGCUGAAGUGAGUAACCAGAUGGGUAAGCGGGGGCUGUGGUGACCUGGGAGCAGGACUGGUGUCAGAG